rnacentral:lncRNA from 1 species
AUUUUAGUAUCGAAAUUAACCUCAACCACACUAACUCCUUGGAAGCGUGAUCUUUGUUGCCAGACAUACUCCGCCAGAAUAACACUACACGGCCACACGAACAAUCCAUAAUCUUCUUUCAUGCUCUGGGAAUUAAUGGAAGUACCUCGAUGACGGUGAUGGAGAUGGCGUCAUCGGAGCCGUUUGAGUCUCCGAAAUAGUGAUGAGAUAUGGUGGUCAUGUUUUCUGUUGCCGGAAUUUCCGGUGAGCCGCCGCCGUCGCUGUUGUUGGCUUCCAUGGAGCCGCCGCGCUGAGAAUGGCCCGGUGGUCGGCGGUGAAUUUUACUUUUCGUGUGAAGGUUAUUUUGAUAAUUUCAUGUUAACAUUUUAGAUUUACACUAUGUUCCCGAGUUUCAUUUAACAAGGGAAGAGAAAGGAAUUAAAAGGAAAAGAGUAAAAAAUGUGUUCCAGAGAUUUUUUAGAAAGGGAAGUGGUGAGAAAAGAAAGGAAACAAGGGGAUGAUUGAUGCAAAUAUUCAUCCUCCCAAUUUGGAGAGAUUUGGUGAGAAAAGAUUAUUAUAAAUCUUAGACUUUUUUAAAUUUCCUAAAUUACCCUCUAAUUCAUUAUAAAUAAACUUUCUUUUCUUUUCCUCCCAACUCGGGAACACAUAAAAUGUUUAAUUUCCUUUCAUUUCCUUUUCUUUUCAUUAAACUCGGGAACACGAAUAUAAUCACAUCUUUUCCUUUCCAUUCCCUUAUAAUUUCUCUUCCUUUCUCUUCUAUCGUUAAAUGAAACUCGGGAACACAGUGUUAGAGUAAAUUGUCCAAAUUAGUUCAUGAGGUUUUUUCUAAAUUUACCAAUUUUAGUAUAAAUAUAAAUUAUUUUUUUUUAUACUGGGCCUGACUUUUCUUUUUUAUUGUCAUUUUGAUUAUAUACCCUAACUUUAUUCAUAAACCUAUUUUUAAUCAGGGUGUUUUGAGGAUUUUCAAUUUAAAUAUUUCCAGAUGCUCGAUUUUAUGGUGUAUUUUUUUAAAAUAAUGUCAUAUAAAAAGAAAGGUUAUGGAUGUUUAAAAAAUGAGGGGAUGGGGGAGGAUUAUACAUAGUGAAGAAAGAAAGUCAACAAAUAAGUUUUUCCAAGAAUGCAUUUGCACUCCUUUUUUUUCUACUUUAACUUUAUUUUUAUUUUUAUCGUAUUUAUACAAAAUUAACUUUUUUCAUUGAUCGUACCCCUAGAUAUGGUAUACCAGUCAUAAUAUACACGACUUGUAUCAUGUCAAAAUAUCUAUCAAUAAUGGUUUAUAAUUAUCCGGUGGUUUGUUAAAUCGUGUCAAAAGUGGAUUUAAAAAAUAGCUUUAUUUCCUGACAAAAAUAAUUUGUUAACAAGGGAGAUGAUCAAACAGUGAGUUUACUUUGUAUAGGAAGUGUAGAAAACAAUAAUAGGAGGAAAUGUGACAAAUAACAAAAAAACAUGGGGAUGAACGUUUUAGUCAAUCUCAUCUCAUCUUCUAUUUUUCUCUUUCCCCGUAUCCUCGAAACCCACCAUUUUCAAAGCCCAUUAUCUUCAACAUUUUUUCAGUUUCUCUCUCUAUAAUCAAUACAUAAUUUUGCGAUUUUCUUCGUCAAUCAAUGAUUUAAACACUCAAAUAACGCGUUCUUCAACUUUUUUGAAUAAACCCAGUUUUUUUCUAGUAAUUUUGAAGCAAAUCACUCGAUUUGUUCUAUUCGAUCGUUGAUCAGUGUUUCUAGCAUUCAAAUUUCGUCAAUCAUUGAAGAAAUCAUAAGAAAUCGGAUUUGAUCUCUGUAAGAAAUCUGAAGAAUUUCAUCAAUCAUUGCGUUUUACAAUCCGGGUUUUCAAAUCAUAUUUUAGAGAAAGACAUUUUUUUUGUCUUUAGUCAAUUGCGUUUUAGAAAAAAAACACAUAUUUUUGUGUUUUUAGUUUAUUGCGUUUUAGAAAAAUACAUUUUUGUGUUUUUUUUUUGUCCAUUGCGUU